rnacentral:rRNA from 1 species
GGGUUGUGAGGUUAAGCGACUAAGCGUACACGGUGGAUGCCUAGGCAGUCAGAGGCGAUGAAGGGCGUGCUAAUCUGCGAUAAGCGUCGGUAAGCUGAUAUGAAGCGUUAUACCCGACGAUACCCGAAUGGGGAAACCCAAUGUGUUUCGACACAUUAUCAUGACAUGAAUACAUAGUGUCAUGAGGCGAACCGGGGGAACUGAAACAUCUCAGUACCCCGAGGAAAAGAAAUCAACCGAGAUUCCCCUAGUAGCGGCGAGCGAACGGGGAGGAGCCCAGAACCUGAAUCAGUUUGUGUGUUAGUGGAAGCGUCUGGAAAGUCGCACAGUAAAGGGUGAUAGUCCCGUACACAAAAAUGCACAAAUUGUGAGUUCGAUGAGUAGGGCGGGACACGUGACAUCCUGUCUGAAUAUGGGGGGACCAUCCUCCAAGGCUAAAUACUCCUGACUGACCGAUAGUGAACCAGUACCGUGAGGGAAAGGCGAAAAGAACCCCGGCGAGGGGAGUGAAAUAGAACCUGAAACCGUGUACGUACAAGCAGUGGGAGCCUACUAGUUGGGUGACUGCGUACCUUUUGUAUAAUGGGUCAGCGACUUAUAUUCUGUAGCAAGGUUAACCGUAUAGGGGAGCCGCAGGGAAACCGAGUCUUAACUGGGCGUUAAGUUGCAGGGUAUAGACCCGAAACCCGGUGAUCUAGCCAUGGGCAGGUUGAAGGUUGGGUAACACUAACUGGAGGACCGAACCGACUAAUGUUGAAAAAUUAGCGGAUGACUUGUGGCUGGGGGUGAAAGGCCAAUCAAACCGGGAGAUAGCUGGUUCUCCCCGAAAGCUAUUUAGGUAGCGCCUCGUGAAUUCAUCUUCGGGGGUAGAGCACUGUUUCGGCUAGGGGGUCAUCCCGACUUACCAACCCGAUGCAAACUACGAAUACCGAAGAAUGUUAUCACGGGAGACACACGGCGGGUGCUAACGUUCGUCGUGAAGAGGGAAACAACCCAGACCGCCAGCUAAGGUCCCAAAGUCAUGGUUAAGUGGGAAACGAUGUGGGAAGGCACAGACAGCCAGGAUGUUGGCUUAGAAGCAGCCAUCAUUUAAAGAAAGCGUAAUAGCUCACUGGUCGAGUCGGCCUGCGCGGAAGAUGUAACGGGGCUAAACCAUGCACCGAAGCUGCGGCAGCGACACUUAGGUGUUGUUGGGUAGGGGAGCGUUCUGUAAGCCGUCGAAGGUGACCUGUGAGGGUUGCUGGAGGUAUCAGAAGUGCGAAUGCUGACAUAAGUAACGAUAAUGCGGGUGAAAAACCCGCACGCCGGAAGACCAAGGGUUCCUGUCCAACGUUAAUCGGGGCAGGGUGAGUCGACCCCUAAGGCGAGGCUGAAAAGCGUAGUCGAUGGGAAACAGGUUAAUAUUCCUGUACUCGGUGUUACUGCGAAGGGGGGACGGAGAAAGCUAGGUUAUCCGGGCGACGGUUGUCCCGGUUUAAGCGUGAAGGUGGAUGACUUAGGUAAAUCCGGGUCAUUGUUAACACUGAGGCGUGAUGACGAGUCACUACGGUGAUGAAGUAACCGAUGCUACGCUUCCAGGAAAAGCCUCUAAGCUCCAGGUAACAUCAAAUCGUACCCCAAACCGACACAGGUGGUCAGGUAGAGAAUACUCAGGCGCUUGAGAGAACUCGGGUGAAGGAACUAGGCAAAAUGGUGCCGUAACUUCGGGAGAAGGCACGCUCCUGUCGGUGAAGUCCCUAGCGGAUGGAGCUGGCGGGAGUCGCAGAUACCAGCUGGCUGCAACUGUUUAAUAAAAACACAGCACUGUGCAAACACGAAAGUGGACGUAUACGGUGUGACGCCUGCCCGGUGCCGGAAGGUUAAUUGAUGGGGUCAGCCGCAAGGCGAAGCUCUUGAUCGAAGCCCCGGUAAACGGCGGCCGUAACUAUAACGGUCCUAAGGUAGCGAAAUUCCUUGUCGGGUAAGUUCCGACCUGCACGAAUGGCGUAAUGAUGGCCAGGCUGUCUCCACCCGAGACUCAGUGAAAUUGAACUCGCUGUGAAGAUGCAGUGUACCCGCGGCAAGACGGAAAGACCCCGUGAACCUUUACUAUAGCUUGACACUGAACCUUGAGCCUUGAU